CCCGGGCCUUGUACACACCGCCCGUCACACCAUGGGAGUUGGUUUACCCGAAGGUAGUGCGGCUUAACCGCAAGGAGGCAGCUAACCACGGGUAGGGUCAGCGACUGGGGUG
rnacentral:rRNA from 1 species